GAUACGACCGAAAGGAAGAAACUCCGUACUUAAAGAGUGGGCUCGCGGCUGUAUUAGUUAGUUGGNGGGUAAUGGCCUACCAAGACGAUGAUCAGUAGCCGAGCUGAGAGGCACAACGGCCACAUUGGGACUGAGACACGGCCCAGACUCCUACGGGAGGCAGCAGUCGGGAAUAUUGCACAAUGGAGGAAACUCUGAUGCAGUGACGCCGCGUAUAGGAAGAAGGUCUUUGGAUUGUAAACUAUUGUCGACAGGGAAGAAGAAAAUGACAGUACCUGUGGAGGAAGCUCCGGCUAACUACGUG
rnacentral:rRNA from 1 species